GGGUCCUUUCUGGUUAGAUUUUCUUGCCCUUUUUCCAGUCUAUUUUUUCCUAUCCUUUUUCCCAUUUUCUUUUUUCCUGCCUUUUUUUCCAUCUCUUUUUCCCCUCCAUUUUUCCUACUUUUUUUCCUGCCAUUUUCCUCUCCAUUUUUCCCAUCCUUUUUGCUGCUUUUUCUCUCAGUUUUUCCCACCCUUUCCCCCUCAGUUUUCCCGCCCUUUUCCCCUCAGGUUUUCCCGCCCUUUUCCCCUCAGGUUUUCCUGCCCUUUCCCCCUCAGGUUUUCCUGCCAUUUUUCCCACCAUUUCCCUCUCCAUUUUUCCCACUCUUUUUGCUGUUUUUUCCCUCAGUUUUCCCACCCUUUUCCUCUCAGUGUUUCCCUCCCUUUUUCCCUCAGUUUUCUCACCAUUUCCCUCUCCAUUUUUCCCACUCUUCUUGCUGCUUUUUCCCUCAGUUUUCCCUCCCUUGUUCCCUCCAUUUUUCCCACCCUUUUCCCUCAGUUUUCCCACUCUUUCCCCUUCAGUUUUCCCACCCUUUUCCCUCAGUUUUCCCACCCUUUUCCCUCAGUUUUCCCACCCUUUUCCCCUCAUGUUUUCCCACCCUUUCCCCCUCAGGUUUUCCCACCCUUUUCCCACCCUUUUCCCACCAUUUUCCUCUCCAUUUUUCCCAUCCUUUUUGCUGCUUUUUCCCUCAGGUUUUCCCACCCUUUUCCCUCAGUUUUUCCCACCCUUUUCCCCUCAGGUUUUCCUGCCCUUUUUCCCACCAUUUUCCUCUCCAUUUUUCCCACUCUUUUUGCUGCUUUUUCCCUCAGUUUUCCCUCCCUUUUUCCCUCAGUUUUUCCCACCACUUUCCUCUCCAUUUUCCCACUCUUACUGCUUUUUCCCCUCUGUUUUCCCUCCCUUGUUCCCUCCAUUUUUCCCACCCUUUUCCCUCAGUUUUCCCACUCUUUCCCCCUCAGUUUUCCCACCCUUUUCCCCUCAGGUUUUCUCACCCUUUCCCCCUCAGGUUUUCCCACCCUUUUCCCACCAUUUUCCUCUCCAUUUUUCCCACCCUUUUUGCUGCUUUUUCCCUCAGGUUUUCCCANUGGAGAAUCCCAAAAUCAGAGAAUCCCAAAACCAGGAAUCCUUUAAAAAUUGGAGGCCCCAAAACUUGGAUUUCUCCAAAAUCAGGGACCCCUAAAAUCCAGGCCCUGUUGGAUUUGGGAUUUGGAAUUCCAGAGGAGAAAAAAAAUUGGGAUUUGACUCCUCCCUUUCCUCCAGGAGCCUCCUCUGACCCCUCGGAGGACCCCAAAUCCCAGAAGAAUCCCAAAAAUUCCCCAAUCCCAAAAAAACCCGGAGCAUGGAGCCGAAGCUUCACCAGCAGAGCCUUCACAGAAUGA
rnacentral:lncRNA from 1 species